UCCGUAGGGUGCGAGCGUUAAUCGGAAUUACUGGGCGUAAAGCGUGCGCAGGCGGUUUUGUAAGCCAGAUGUGAAAUCCCCGGGCUUAACCUGGGAAUGGCAUUUGGGACUGCAAGGCUCGAGUGCGGCAGAGGAGACUGGAAUUCCUGGUGUAGCAGUGAAAUGCGUAGAUAUCAGGAGGAACACCGAUGGCGAAGGCAGGUCUCUGGGCUGACACUGACGCUCAUGCACGAAAGCGUGGGGAGCAAACAGG
rnacentral:rRNA from 1 species